rnacentral:lncRNA from 1 species
GAGUCUUUAUGUCAGAACGACAUAGAAUAAUGAACCGUCAAAGAACAAACAGAGGAAUGCCUCAGACAAGCUAAAUAGAGAACUCGAGAUAAUAGACUCGGAGGAACCUUGCAGAGGACUCAGCUGGCUCUGACGACCACUUCGAGGGGGCCGACCUCUGCAACUCACACAUUUCGACCCCCCCUUCCUACGAGCUCCUACCGUCGUUAUAAAGACCGCCGGCUCGCGACUUUCCCUGGAUUAACUUCUCCUUCGCUGACAGAGUUGUGAAUUUUCGACAGAUGCUCCUUCCGAAUCAAGCCUUGUGGUCGAUGUGGCUUGCCCUACUCCUGCCGCCUUGCUAUCUUCUGCUUUUCUCCCUCUCCGAGCUCGACUCGCCUUCCUGAAUUUGGCGGGGGAUGCGAGGAUCGCAUCAAAAUCCCCCCUCUGACUGAGAGCGACCGGGGCCUUACCUGGGUAUAGCAGAGAAAAUUAUUCCUUGCGACUCGUCGCAGCGGACAACAGCAAUGCGAUCGCGAAAAUUAUUCUGAAGCUAGUUUGGGAUCGUUGGCGAGAGACGUUGGCGUGGGAUCGCCGAGGCAACAGCAUCCCGUGCGUCAGGCCCCGCGAGAAAAAUCCAGGCUUCUCGCCGCAUUGCAGCAGCUUCCACGCGAAUUGCGGGGUCGUCCGGCGACUUCGCCGGGGGCUGAGGAGGGCCUUCCCCCCCACCGCACUCCGCUUGCCAUCCAUCCAUCUGAGCGACCGAGUGGUCGUCAGUGGGAGAUACCAGCACGACGGACUCGGGCUCUCGACCUGGAUGGAAAUCGAAACCGAUCCCAGCGCGCUCCUCCGAGUCUCCCCGUGUUCGUUCGCAUCACCGUCAAGGAGGCGGUGGUCUAAGGGGGGGGGGUACGUGUCCGC